ACCCGACCACCUCCGAAGGGUAAUUUCGUCCUUUUAGCUUCUUGGAUACGAGAUGUUGCAGGUUUCAAUGCAAAUCCCGAGGUAGGAGAAGUUCCACCAGAGGACUAGAUCAGUGUUGUUAGAUACUGUUUGUAAAAUUAUUAAGGAAUAAAUUGUGUGGAAUAUUACUGUGGUGUGUGUAACUAACUUUGAGCUACUGUGACUCUGACUUUGUACUUAUUAAAAUAAGUUUGUAAUAUUAUUGGCUCUAUUUAUAUCAUAUCAUAGUUAUCGGA